GUCUACAGCCAUACCACCCUGAGUGUGCCCAAUCUUGUCUGAUCCCGGAGGCUAAGCAGGGUCGGGCCUGGUUAGUACUUGGAUGGGAGACAUAUUUAUUUAUGACUUUGGAAUAGAGGAGAGGCC
ensembl:rRNA 5S_rRNA 5S ribosomal RNA